rnacentral:piRNA from 1 species
UCCGAAGAAAACUCUAAAUGCAUACUCAAC